rnacentral:lncRNA from 1 species
CGGGAAGGGGGCGUCCGGGAGCCCGGAGAGACAGCGGUCGUAAGAGCAGGUACCAGGUAUGUACAUGCUGCAUGCAGGCAAAACACGUACACAUAUAGAGUAAAGACAUGCAAAAUGAAAACCAAAAAAACCCACAACGCCAUAUCAGGAUGAAGCCAAGUAUCUCCUUUCCAGCCACCAACCUUGAUGCGAUGAUGAAUGGCAACUUUGUACUUUCUCUGAGAGGUGCAUGACCACAGAUGUGGCAUGCUCUUGGGGAAGAGUGGAAGGGUGUGUGGUCUGAUUAACAAACAAGGUUUUCCUGUGGAGUAAGUUUCGUGACCCAGGACAGAGUGUGUCUGCUGUUGAGCCAGGGGCAGGCAUCCCUGUUACAGACCAGGGAGAACGGUUGAGAGGAGGCACA